ACACCUGGAAACAGAUGCUAAUACCGGAUAACAACACUAGACGCAUGUCUAGAGUUUGAAAGAUGGUUCUGCUAUCACUCUUGGAUGGACCUGCGGUGCAUUAGCUAGUUGGUAAGGUAACGGCUUACCAAGGCAAUGAUGCAUAGCCGAGUUGAGAGACUGAUCGGCCACAUUGGGACUGAGACACGGCCCAAACUCCUACGGGAGGCAGCAGUAGGGAAUCUUCCACAAUGGACGAAAGUCUGAUGGAGCAACGCCGCGUGAGUGAAGAAGGGUUUCGGCUCGUAAAGCUCUGUUGGUAGUGAAGAAAGAUAGAGGUAGUAACUGGCCUUUAUUUGACGGUAAUUACUUAGAAAGUCACGGCUAACUACGUGCCAGCAGCCGCGGUAAUACGUAGGUGGCAAGCGUUGUCCGGAUUUAUUGGGCGUAAAGCGAGUGCAGGCGGUUCAAUAAGUCUGAUGUGAAAGCCUUCGGCUCAACCGGAGAAUUGCAUCAGAAACUGUUGAACUUGAGUGCAGAAGAGGAGAGUGGAACUC
rnacentral:rRNA from 1 species